rnacentral:sRNA from 6 species
AUAUCUCUCUGUACGGGAAGGAUGAGAAGCUUCGACUAAGGUUCGAUUCGAGCGCAGCGAGAAAGCGUUGCCG